rnacentral:rRNA from 1 species
CGAGGGCGAUCGGGAGUAGCAAUACUGCCGGCGACCGGCGCAAGGUGCGUAACGCGUGAGCAACAUGCCCGUAUCAGGGGGAUAAUCCAUGGAAACGUGGUCUAAUACCCCAUAGUAAUUAUGUAAGGCAUCUUAUAUAAUUUAAAGCUUUGGUGGAUACGGAUUGGCUCGCGUGACAUUAGCUGGAUGGUAAGGUAACGGCUUACCAUGGCUACGAUGUCUAGGGGUUCUGAGAGGAAGGUCCCCCACACUGGAACUGAGACACGGUCCAGACUCCUACGGGAGGCAGCAGUGAGGAAUAUUGGACAAUGGAUGGAAAUCUGAUCCAGCCAUGCCGCGUGCAGGAAGACGGCCCUAUGGGUUGUAAACUGCUUUUGUAUGGGAGCAAUAAGGGCUACGUGUAGUCCGAUGAGAGUACCAUACGAAUAAGCACCGGCUAACUCCGUGCCAGCCGCUGC